CACACACACACACACAUAUUUUUCAACAGGUACUGAUCACCGAUUCUCUUACCUGCUUGAAGUAACCAAAGGGCCGGUGGUGAUGUAGCUGCAAUACCUGCGAUACCUAUAUAGGGGUACCAGAGGAUGCCUCGUCUACCUUUAAAGAAACAUCUAAGACGUCAUGUCUUUGCUAUCUAGGUCUGGCCCAAAUAUUAAAGAUCAGUAUAGUAUUACAUGACAACGGUGAUUUUCAAGCGAAUCACUCGAUUCGUCCGAUUCGAUCGCUAAUAAGUGUUUCUAACAUUCAAAUUUCGUCAAUUGGUGAAGCAAUCUGAAGAAAUCGGCUUCGAUCUAUAUUAAAUGCAGGUUCUACACGAAAUAGGCUGGCCACUCCUUA